UACGUAGGGUGCAAGCGUUAUCCGGAAUUAUUGGGCGUAAAGAGCUCGUAGGCGGUUUGUCGCGUCUGCUGUGAAAACUGGAGGCUCAACCUCCAGCCUGCAGUGGGUACGGGCAAACUAGAGUGCGGUAGGGGAGAUUGGAAUUCCUGGUGUAGCGGUGGAAUGCGCAGAUAUCAGGAGGAACACCGAUGGCGAAGGCAGAUCUCUGGGCCGUAACUGACGCUGAGGAGCGAAAGCAUGGGGAGCAACGGG
rnacentral:rRNA from 1 species